CUGGCUAGCCAUAUGUAGAAAGCUGAAACUGGAUCCCUUCCUUACACCUUAUACAAAAAUUAAUUCAAGACGGAUUAAAGACUUAAAUGUCAGGCAUAUGAAAUUGAACUCCAUCUGGGUUUAUUUGGCACCAACCUAGAGCAAAUUGCUGAACUAAGACGUGUAGGAGAUAACAAGAUGAAUAACGACACAUGAAGGAGUUUUCUUGAUUGAAAUUACAAAACAUUCAGGAAAGAUAAAAAUGUGGUAGAGAUGGGCUCUUAAAUUAACUGAGGAAACUAUAAAUUGGGACUACUUUCAUAAUCCCUGGAGUCAAAUUGCCUAGCUUAGAAUACUGGCUUUCUCACUUACUAUCAGCAUGCCCUUAGACUUGUUACUUAAUUUUUCUUGGCCUCAGUGACUUCAGUAGCACCUGUUUCACAGAGUUGGGGAAAGCAAUUAAAUGAUAUAUGCAAUAGUUAAAAUGGAGACUGGAGCACAGUUAACAUUGGCAAGUGUUAUUUGUACUGUUGUUGUCAUUAUCAUUAUAAUGUACAGGCUGAAAUAAAAUUUAUUCUACUAAAAGCACAGUUUGAAACACACUCCUCAUUAGCUUUUUUAACAGUUUAAUCAAAAGUUUGAAAAAACUAGCGUAAUUUGGAAAUUUAAUUCUAAUUCUUUUGGAUCUAACAAACAAAAAGUUAAAUAUAUUAGCAUCAAGAACUUUAGAUCUUGAUAAUGGAUGUUAAGAUUAUAGAUUUCAUACACACUAAGGAAAAAGUAUAUACCCUAGCUCCUGUAGUUAAGCACAUUUUUAAAAUGUGCACUGAAGUGAUGAACAUGGUCAUUAUUGUGUCUAUUGUAACAAAGAUAUAAUAAGGUUAUAUUAUAUUUUUAUUAUAUAUAAAUAUAUAUUAUGUAUUUUUUAUUAUAAAAGUUAUAAUAAAUGUGAUCAGGCAUGACUCAACGAAGAGUAUCUAAAUUAUAAUCACAUAACUUUAUCUUUCAUUUUAACAAUGCCUUGUAAUUUAUGUAGUGAUCCGAAGAAGUUAUGGACUUAAACUAUGUAAUGUUAGCAAAAUAAUUACAAAUGAUCCCUAUGCAGACCAUGUAAAUGAGCCAGAAGUGGAAGCAUAUAGCAAAACUAUGUAAAAAGUAGCAAAAAACCUCUAAGGAUGUCCAUUUGACAGAUGUGAAUGAUGAAUGGAAGCUUCUAAAAAUACUAGUAACAAUAAACACUGUCGAUUUGGCUAUAAUCCAAGCCAAAAAAAAAAAGUCUAUAUAUAAGUAGGCUCAUUGUUAAGGGCAGAUGGCAUGCUAUUCCCAGAAAAUGUCAACUUCCUAAAAUCAGGCCUGAUAGCAUCACACCCCAGUUUUAACAUUUUCAGUGGCUUCUCAACCAGUACAUGGUAAAUUUAGAACUUAGCAUGGCAUCCAGUGCCCUUAUCUUCCUGUCUCCAGUCUACCAUUCCAGCCAAAUUUUUCAUCAUUCUCUCUUUACUCAAAAUGUAACCUAAAUCCUAGUUGCAUCAGACUACAGAGGAGUCAGGUCUAGUAUAUUACUUUGAACUAUAUAAAAGUCUAGGCAUUAAGCUAUUUUUGACCUACAAAAUGACAAUUUCAUUCAACCUAAUACAUAAUAUAAAAAAAGGAGAAACCAUAGCUUCAUGUUAAAUUCAUUGCAAAUCCAGGCAAAUUACACCCCAGGAUUCUUAGAGAGCCUGAAUAUUAUAACUAAAUAACUAUUGCUUAAAAAAGAAUUCUUAUUAGGGUACACUGUUUUGGGAGUUGAGUUUUUCCUGGAUGUCUUUCUUCCCUUUUCUUCUUCAGUACCACUCUUCAUCCUUUUCCACCCUUUUCUGUGACUGAAAGGCUAAUCUACACUGACUGCUAGACUGCUGCCACUGGCUCCCUUGUCCUCUGACUUUGAAUUGGAUGCAGCCAUUAAGAUACCUAGCAGGAGAUCAGAAACAAGGAGGAUCAUGAGUCUGAAUAUUUGGCCUCCUACUCCCGCCAUGCACCUCUGCCUCAUCCUGGCCAUGCACUCGUACUAAUGGCCACGUCUCAAGAUUUCAGUGUGUACCUAACUCUCCUCUUCUUGAGUUUCUGCAACUGCUCCCUCCUCUCAUUGUGUAGGUCUAGGGUGAGAUCAACUUCACCAUUAUCCUCAUGAGUUUCCUUACACAUAGCCCACAUCUUUGUAAAUGUUGCCUUUAUUAAACCUUUUACAAAUUAUCCUAAUUUGAGUACAUCAUCUGUUGUCUGCUGUAAUUCUAACUGACACAAGACUAAUUCUUCAUAUUAUUCACAUUUAAUUCUUACUACACUUUAAGGAAGGUUUGGUUAUUAUGUCAUUUUAUAGAUAAGGGAAAUUAAGUUCAUAGAGACAAAUUAAUGUGUCCAACAUGAAACAAAAAAUGUGUUACAGAUCAAGGGUUGCAAGCCCAGCAAUGUGACUCCAGAGGCUACAGUCCUGAUGGGUGAUGGGAAAUUGUAAUUUUGGUUUUCUAAAGUGGGGAAAAAUAAAUUUCAGAAACCAUACAUUGAUAAAAAGAAAUAAUGAUAAUCACACGUUUUCUGAACAGGUUAUUAAAUGUGUAGUCUCAGAUGGUAUGAUGGUAUGUUUUUUGGACACGGUAAAGAAUUAUGGGAACAAGGUUUUAGACUUCAGGAUACUUGGCAAUUUUUGGUCUAUACUUUACGGAAACACAGAAAGGACUAUCUUAUUCAAUUUGCUGAUGCUGCAAAGCUAGGAUAGAAGGCUGAUAGAAUCAGAAUUUCAAAUACAUUUACAGACUAGAAAAAAUAGAGUAAAUGAAAUGAAAUACAAAGGCAAUAAAUAUCACGAUAUGUUUGUAAUGGUCAAGUGUCUUGCUUGCUAGAGUCUUUUUUUGUGGGGGAAGUUUCAUUUUAAUUGAGAUAUAAUUUAUAUACUAUAUAAUUUUCUCUUUUUCUGGGUACAAUUCAGUGGUUCUUAGUACAGAAGCAGAGAAUCUCAUUUAUUGGCUCAAGUAACUAUAUAAUCUAAAGGAGGACAUUAAAGGUAAACACAUGAAGGGUUUUCAAAAGAUGUCAUUAGGUAAGUUCUCCCCCUCUGUCACUCUCUUCUCUGUUUUCCUCUAUGUUGGCUCCUGAGCAAGUUCCUAUCACCAAAAGGGUUGAUAUUUUACCCCUCUCAGGUUCUAGUCUAGUUGAAGAGAAAAACUCUCUGAAAAAUCUCUAGAAAUCACACAUGGUUGCAUAUCAUUGGCUCUGAAAUAGGCCAUGUUUUCACACUGAACUAUAGUCAGGCAUCUGUAGUACUCUGAUUGGCAACGCAUGGAUCCCAUGCCCACACCAGAGAGAAACCUAGCUCCACACAACCACAAGAAUUGCAAGUUGGAGAACUGGGGUAAUACAAAGAAAGUCAGUCAGAAAUCAUUAAGCAAAGUGUUAAAGUUAUAUCAAGCAAAACGAUAAUUAAAAUGCGUAUCGACUACAAAAUUCAAAACAAUUUUAAAAAUACAGAAUGUGGAAGGCAUAGCAUAACUACAAUAUGAUUAAUAUGAAAAAUCUCUUGGGGUUUUUAGAUGCCAUUAAACUCAGUAUAAACCAACUGGGUGAUCUGAACACUAAAAUAGGCUCAGACUGAAUUGAUCAAUGUAUAUUGUUUACAGCAACAGUGGCAAUAUUUACAUUGAUCUGCACUUAACUGAUUACACCUGAAAUAUUGUUUUAGGUGCUAGAAACUACAUUAUAAGGGAGAUACUGAAGAGCUGGUGUCUAUUCAAUUGAGAUUUAUAAAUGUGCUUGGAGGACACAAAACUUGAGGAAUGGUUGAAAAAACAGGAAGGAAUGUUCAAGUGGGAAGAUGGACAAUUCAAUGAGGUUAUAAUAUCUGUGUUCUAAUACUGAAAAAAGAAUUUCAUAUGGAAAGAAAAAUAGAUUUAUACAAAGCAAUUAUUGGCUGAAUUAAGACCAGUAUAAACUUUUAGCAGUAUUUUAAUGCCUUACAAAUUUGGAAAUGUGUUUUAAUAGGAGAAACACAGUGGUGUUAAGUAGCGGGUAGGUAACUACUUCAUAAAUAUGUUACCGAAGCUUUAUCAGAUUGGGUCAAACAUGGGACUAGAAUCGGCCUUAUGUAUUUCCAGCUUGGAAUUCAAGGAAUCCUACUACCUGGAUCCAAACUUCUGUCACUGUUCACUAGUUAUGAAACUGAGAAUCCUCUACAAACCUCAUUUCUUAAUCUGCAAAAUGAAGAUAAUAGUCUCUUCCUUUUAGAGUUGUGGUAUUAAAUUAUUAAUACCCACAAGGAACUUAGGUUAGUGUAUGGCCCAUAUUAAGUACUCAAUUUUAGCCAUUAUUAUUGCUAUAUAGUUGAUGAUGAGUACUUAACUUUCUUUGCCAUGCACGUAGAUUUCCACACUUAGUUGUGACAGGGCUAAAAAAAAAAAGGCUUUCCUUUGUGUUACACAACAUAUGGCAGGUUGAGCAUCUUAAAAUAUUGUUCUGCAGUAAAACAGACUAUAAGGUAUUCACAUAAUUCUUUCAUAACAAGCUAUUUCCAAGAGCUCAGUAAUCAUACAGGUCCAAUUUUUGGCAAAGCUAUGAAGCUCUGGUGAUGCACUUCUCUGCUGGAAAAGCCCAUAAAACACCCACUGCUUCUCUUCCAAGUUUCACUCCUCUAAAGGAUCAAAAGUCUGAAUCUCCUCACUAAGAAAAGGUAUUGGCCAGAACUCAGUAAACACCCUCAGAAGUUAUUGUAAAGGCCUAAUUUAAACAAGAACAUCCAGAUUUUGCUUAUACCUCAGAAUCAAAACAAACUCUCAUGCCUGAUCUCGACGUGUUUGGUUAUCUUUGGAAGAUCACAGACAUAUGUCAAAAUAAAUUCUAUAUUACACAGGAAGUGUGAACUUUGCCUUCACCAAAUCAAGGGACUAACCUAAAAUUCUAAUUUUCUCAACUAGGAUCAGUUGUAAUCCUCUAAUUUUUGAAUCUUAUUAACCCAGUCACAGACUGAAAUGUUUCAGAGCUUAACAAGGCUCCAAACUGAGAAGUCCAUUGUGGCCGACUGUGCCACGCGAUCAUUCCUUGACAUUUUUUCCACUCAGAGAAUAAAACUGCAGUCAUUUGGUUUACAAAUAACAAGGAAGAAAGUCCUUUGGGUUAUUUAUCCCUAAUGUUAAGAAAACAAAACAAUAGCACUAAAUCUAUCAAUGAUAUAAUCAUAGCUAGAGUUUUCAAGCCUUAAAAAGGAAAUCUUGCUAAUUGGAAGCAUUGAAAACAAUAUACGGUUCAAACACUGUCAAAGAUUAGAGAGUGAAUUAUUAUGUUUCUUAUAGUUGACGUCUGCGGCCCAGAUUCUAAACUGUUAAUUAUUUUUUAAACAUACUGAAACCACACAUGCUACAAACAUAGGCAUAGAUACAAACUGAGUUGCAUUUUAAACAUGAUUCUAUUUUAAAACAAAGGAAAGUAUAAUCUAUUUAUGUAAACAUAUUUACUUGUAUAUUGGUCAAAAUCAGCAAGAGCAAGUAAAUAUUGAGUAACUAUUAUGUCCUAUACAUUGUUCUAAAGGCUGAGGAUGUACAGUAUAGUGAACAAGACAUUAUAGUCCCUGCCUUCUCUUCUAGCAGAGGAGAGAGUGUAGUAGGUAACUUCGGAGAUGCCCCACCAGUGACCCUGGCCUCAGGGUCUUCAAGACCUUGUUGCAGCCUCACCUCAUUGUCUGUCGCUGGACCUAGAGAUUUGCUUCUAACUAAUACAAUACAGUAAAAAUGAUAGGUUAUCAUUUCCAACAUUAGGCUAUAAAAAUCUGAUGAAAAUCUUGCUUGCUCUCUCUCUGACUCUACUUGCAUGCUUGCUUUGAUAAAGCUAGCUGCCCUAAGAAGAUGCCCAUGUAGCAAAGAAGCGAGGGAGGCCUCCAACCAACAUCUAGCAAGGACCUGAGGUCCUCAGUCUAGGCUGGAGUGGGUUCAAAAAAAGAAGAAACAACAUUAGGUAGAAGUGACAGCAAAUAUUCUCGAAUCUUUAAAGGAAGUUUUUCCUUAAAGAGGAACAAAGAAACAUGGUAAUCAGAUGAAACACAAAACCUGGGAAAAACAUUUUUUUAAUGUACUGGCCUCAGGGUUUGGUGGGUAUGCUGUGAUUGUACAGAACAGCCUGCAUGGAUAGACACAAAAGUACUCCUUAAAGAUGAAUUGGCACCAGUGAGGGGUGAUGGUUCACUUAUUUGUUUGUUUACUCAAAGGUGAUAACUUUGUUAGGAAUGCGACCAGUCGUCUUUGGAAAUCUGAAUUAAUUGGCAGUAUUUUAAAACUAUUUCUCUGAUGUUCAGUACAUGUCCUAAAAUGGCUGCUUGAUCGAAUCACAUCACAAACUGGCCUAGAUUUGAGCACCCUUUGGCCCAUUGUGUUUGGGGGCAUAGAGUUCCUAGAGCAAGGCCAAAAAAAAAAAAAAAAAAAAAAAAAAGAUAAAAAUUUUUAAAAACACACAGGCAGAAUCACUUUAAGUAUUUUAAUACUGAGAAGAGCAAUUUUUAAAUAAAAGCAGGGGAUAUUAUAAUGUAUCCUUAUGUUUCGGAGAAGGGAGAAUUUUAUUAUGUAGGGAAGGUGGUGAUGAAUUUUGGAGUAAAGGUUUUUAGAAAGUUAUGAAAUGGGAUACAGGGCACAGGUUUAUCCCUUGCUAAGAGCCAUUUGGUUAACCUGCUCUAUCGGGAAGGAAGGUGGAGAGAAUGGAUACACUUGCAGGCAGGCUGGUGGUGGGAGUCUUUUCUUCCAAAAUCUUCAAGUCUCUCAUGAAACAAAAGACAAGAACUUAAGCUAAAUGUGAGAAAUGGGAGGAGGAGAGAAAAUGAACUCAUCCACUUUGUGAGAAAAAGAGAUGAUGAAUGUGAAACUUUCCUUGUAGUGAUUUGCUGUAAUUGGAAGUAUGGUGCAGAAUACGGAGAGGUACAUAAAAAAAGAUUGAGCCGAGAUUGUGCCACUGCACUCCAGCCUGGGCAACAAGAGCGAAACUCAGUCUCGAAAAAACAAAAAUGCUGUUAAUUUUUGUUUGUUGAUAUUUAUCCUGCAACUUUACUGUACUUGUUUAUUAGUUCCCAUCGGAUCUCUAUUGGUUUCGGAAAAAAAGCCCAUUUUUCCUUUUGUUCCCUGUGCCUUUAGGGUCAUAUUAAAAAAAAAUUGCCCAAACCAGUACCAUGGGGCUCUCCUCUAGUAAUUUUAUAGAUCCAUGUCUUAUAUUUAAGUCUUUGAUCCAUUUGAGUUGAUUUUUCAAUGGGGUGCAAUAUAGGGAUUAAAUUUUAUUAUUGCUUGGUAUGAUAAUAUAAUAAAUAUAACAUAAUAAAAGCAUGGAAAUAGUCCAAUGAAGAGCUAAAAGAGAGCGGCUCUUGAGAAAUGGGAAUGGCAGAUGCAAUCCAGAACUCAAGAAGAGAGCCUGGUCUUCCACAGAAUUGGGAACCCCUCCACUGUGAAGCCAGGAAGAGAGUCCUAUAAGCUCUCACUUCUAAUUUCUACCCCAUUUCCAGUUCCUAGCAAGGUAUUUAGAAAUUCAGAUGUGAGUUCUUCACGUGCUACUUUUCACCCUUAACACCACACCCAUAGUGUAGACAGCUUUCUAUGGGUUUUACUCUCAUUUCUAGUGCUGAGUAAAGGUGGUAUUUUAAAAAUAAUUUUAUGUCUAAUAUGCUGUAAUCACUUUUGAGUAUUAUUCAAAAUAUCUCACUUCUAUGUUUUUUUGUAUUUCAGAUUUCUGACCAUUCUCUCAAACCAAUAAAGCCUGGAGACACUGAGAUCAUGACCUGGCGAUUUCUAUAAGGCUACUUAGGGCCCCAGCUGCCCUUGAGAAGUAAAACUCAAAACUCAAGCUCUUUGCCACCAAUCAGAGGUAGAAUUAUAAUGGAGAGCUAAAGAAAUUUCUCUAUCUCCAAGCCCCAGGUGAAGAGCUAGGGACUAUUCAUAUCAAUUGCCUCCAGGGAAGAAAAAUAAUGAGAGAGGGAAUCUGAAUGACUGAACAUUACUGAACAAGCACUUGUUAGUAUAAUAAUUGUCAACCUUGGCAGAUUCAGCUGGGAGGAAAAUUGAUGAUAGUGGCUUAGCACAACUGUUUCAACCAAAAUGACAGUGGAGUGGGCAGCAGGAGAUCUGCUAAGUGGAAUAAACAAAUGGCCACUAAGAGGAAAAAGUCAAAGGAAAAUAUUCAUAUGGGGUUUCAAUUCAAAACACCAACACACAUUUUUGUAGACUAGAUAAACUUCUAUUUUCUAAAACUGCUCAUUUUUGCUGAAGCUUCAUUAACCAUAUGUUACCAGUCCUCUUAUUCCUCCCUAUCGCUAUCACUGUUCCAUAAUACUCAAUAGAGACAUUCUCUGAAAAAGAAUGCCCUGACAGCCCGCUAUAUUUUGUGUUUAUAUAAAAAACACACUGUAUAUUGGAUAAAAUUCCCUUUAAAUUGUUUUGUUGAUAUUUAAUCCGAACAAAAAAUCUAGUAGACAUUUUUUUCCCAUGUGUGCUAAGUGGAAUGUUUUAAGAGCUACCACUGAAGAAAAGAAAUUUUCUUGUCUUCUUCCACUAAUAUUAACGAAGCAUCAUUUUUUUCCUUUCAUCUUCAUUCAUAUAAGCAAUUGCAAAUAUAUUGAGAUUUACUGAAUUACAUUUAACGCCUAUGAAAUUUAAUACCUGUUCAUUAAUUCACUCAACAAAACUUAGAUUCUAACUAAACUAGGAAGAGUUGAGUGUCAUCUUGAUCAUUAUUUCAUUUGGAGCAGAUAUUAUAUAUGGGUCAACAACAGGCACUUUUCUAAGUCGAAUUGUAUUUGGAGAAACAAUUUAUUUUAUAUUUAUAAAGUAAAUGUGGAAUUCAUUUUAUAAACUGUGCAACAAAGGAAAAUAUGAAAUCAGAAACACUUUAUACUAUACUAUAUAAGAUUCGUUAGAUAAGUUGGAAAUAUAUGUCCAGAUUAGAUUAUAUCUAAUUUGAAUAAACAAAGAACAUAUAUUUUUGAUUACUUUUCAGGUGGCCAAUAAUGAAUUAAGAUAAAUUAUACCAGUAACUGGACUAUAAAUAACAGUUCACCUGAUUUCUCUGUCAAUGAUGAAGGCUCCUGACAUUCUUGUUAAUUGACAAAAAUUAUAUACAUGUAUGGUGUACAACAUGAUUUUUUGAAAUGUAUACAUUGUAGAAUGGCUAAAUCAAGCUAAUUUAUGCAUUAGUUUGAUCAUGCAUCAGCUCACAUAUUUUUUUUGUGGUGGUAAGAACACUUAAAAUCUACCGCAACAAUCUACUCUCAGCAAUUUUCAAAUAUAUAAUAUACUAACGAAAGUCACCAUGAUGUACAAUAGAUUUCUUGUAGUUAUUCCUUUUAAUUGAAAUUAUGUGUUCUUUCACCAAUAUCCUUUAUUACCCCACUUCUCAGCCUCUAGUAACCACUAUUGUACUUUCUGCUUCUAUGAGUUAAAUUUUUUCAGAUUCAACAUAUAAGUAAGAUCAUGUGGUAUUUGUCUUUCUGUGCCUGUCUUAUUUCACUUGACAUAAUGUCCUCCAAGCUCAUCCAUGUUGUUACAAAUGACAGGAUUUCCUUCCUGUUUAAUGCUGAAUAGUUCAUUGUGUGCAUAAAUAUACACAUUUUCUUUAUUCAUUCAUCAUUGGUGGAUAUGUAGGUUGAUUUCAUAUCUUAGCUAUCAUGAAUAUUUCUUCAAUGAACAUGGGAGUGCAGUUAUCUAUUUGACAUACUGAUUUUAUACUCUUUAGAUGUAUACCCAGAAGUAGGAUUGCCAAAUCAUAUGCUAAUUCUAUUUUUAAUUUUUUGAGGAAUGCUCAUACUGUUUUCCAAAAUGGCUCUACUAAUUUACUUUCCCACCAAUCAUAUACAAGGCUUCCCUUUUAACAAUUCACAUCUUCACCAACACCUACAUUUGGUCUUUUUGCUAAUAGUCAUUCUAACAGAUAUGAGGUAAUAGUUCAUUGUGGAUUUAAUUUGCAUUUCCCUGAUGAUUAGUGAUGCUGAACAGUUUUCAUUUACUUGUGGUCAUUUGUAUGUCUUCUUUUGAGAAACAUCCAUUCACUUUUUUCAUUUUUUGAUCAGGUUAUUUGUUUACUUACUAUUGAAUUGAGUUCCACAUAUAUUUUUUGGAUAAUAGUCCCUUACCAGAUGUGUGGUUUGCAAACAUUUUUUUCCUUUUCUGUAGGCUGUCUCUUUACUCUCUUGGUUGUUUCCUUUCCUAUGCAGAAUUUUUUUAGUUUGCUGUAAUCCCAUUUGCUUUUGGAAAAAGAAGCCUAUUUUUCCUUUUGUUCCCUGUGCCUUUUGGGCCAUAUUCAAAAAAAUCAAUGCCCAAACCAAUAUCAUGGGGCUUUCCUCUAGUAAUGUGAUAGAUCCAGGUCUUGUAUUUAAGUCUUUGAUCCAUUUGAGUUGAUUUUUCAAUGGCGUGCAAGAUAAGGAUUAAAUUUUAUUAUUUUGCAUGUGAAUGUCAAGUUUUCCCAGCCCGAUUUGUUGAAGGGACUGUCACUUCCCUGUUGUGUGUUCUGGACACUUUUGUUGAAAAUCAAUUGACAACAAAUACAUGAAUUUAUUUCUGGGCUCUUUAUUGUGUUCUAUUGGUCUAUGUGUCUGUUUUUGUAAAAGUACCGUGUUGUUUUGAUUAUUAUAGUUUUGCAGUCAAUUUUGAAAUCAGGUAAUGUGAUGCCUUUGGCUUUGUUCUUUUUGCUCAAGAUUGCUUUAGCUAUUCUGGGUCUUUUGUGAUUCCAAGUGAAUUUUAGGAUUGUUUUUUCCAAUUAAGUGUAAAAUGUCAGUGGAAUUUUGAUAGUGAUUGCAUUGAAUUAGUACAUCACUUUGGAUAGUAUGGACAAUAAUAUUUAUUAACUCUUUCAAUUCAUGAACAUGGAAUAUCUGUUCAUUCAUCUGUAUCUUGUUCUAUUUCUUUCAUUGAUGUUUUAUAAUUUUUAAUCUAAAGACCAUUUUCUUGACUUUUUCUUUGUUGGAUAUUUCAUUGUUAGUGUAUAGAAAUGCUGUUAAUUGGCCGGGCGUGGUGGCUCAGGCCUGUAAUCCCAGCACUGUGGGAGGCCCACGUGGGUGGAUAAUUUCAGGUCAGGAGUUUGAGACCACCCUGACCAACAUGGUGAAACCCCAUCUCUACUAAAAAUACAAAAAUUAGCUGGGCAUGGUGGUGGGCACCUGUAAUCCAGCUACUCAGAAGGCUGAGACGGGAGACUCACUUGAACCUGGGAGGCAGAGGUUGCAGUGAGCCGAGAUUGUGCCACUGCACUCCAGCCUGGGCAACAAGAGUGAAACUCAAUCUCAAAAAAAAAGUGAAAUAAAAUAAAAAAUGCGGUUAAUUUUUGUUGAUAUUUAUCCUGCAACUUUACUGUACUUGUUUAUUAGUUCUAAUAGUGUGGGGUUUUUUUGGUGGAUUCUUUGUGUGCAAAUAGAAAUUAAUAGAAACAAGUGUACCCAUAUUCUCCACCUUCCUUCCCAUCAGAUGUCUUUUAUUUCUUUAUCUUGCCUAAUGGCUCUAGCUACAACUUCUAGUACUGUAUUGAUUAAAAGUGUCAAUACUGGGCAUCUUUGCCUUCUUCCUAAUCUUAGAGGAAAAGCUUUCAAAAUGUAGUUUGACGUUAUUAAUACCUGUGGGCUUAUCAUAUAUUGACUUUAUUGUGUCGAAAUAGAUUCUUUCUAUACCUUAUUUAUUGAGAGUUGUUAUCAUGACAAGAUGCUCAAUUUUCAGCAUCUAUUGAAAUGAUAUACUUUUUGUUCCUCAUUCUGCUAAUGUGGUAUAUUACAUUUGUUGAUUUGUGUAUGUUGAGCCAUCUUUGCAUCCUAGUAAUAAAUCUCACUUGAUCAUGGUGAGUUAUUCUCUUAAUAGGCUAUUGAAUUUUAGUUGUUAAUAUUUUGUUGAGAAUUUUGCAUCUAUGUUCAUCAGGAAUAAUGGCCAUAGUUUUCUUUCCUUGUAAAGUGCUUGUCUGUCUUUUGUCUUUUGUAUCAGGAUAAUGCUAGCAUCAUCGUAAUGUUUCCUCUUUAAUUUUUUGGAGCAGUUUGAGAAGGAUUGGUAUUAGUUUAAUUAAAAUGUUUUUGGGGUUGGGUGCAGUGGCUCAUGCCUGUGAUCCCAACAAUUUGGGAGAACAAGGCAUAAGGAUUGCUUGAGCCCAGGAGUUUGAGACCAGCCUGGGCAAAAAAAGGAAGAUCGGGUUUCAAAAAAAAAAAAAAAAAAAAAAAUAGCUCUGCGUGGUGGUACACGCUUAUAGCCCCAGCUACUCAGGAGGUUGGGAUGGGAAGACUGCUUGAGCCCCACAGGUUGAGGCUCCAGUCAGGCAUGACUGUGCCAUUUCACUCCAGCCUGGGUGACAGAGCAAGACUCUGUCAAAAAAAAAAAAAAAAAAAAAAAAAAAAAAAAAAAAAAAAAAAAAAAAACCCACAACAACAACAACAACAAAA